CAGCAGCCGCGAGAAUACGGAGGGUGCAAGCGUUAUCCGGAUUUAUUGGGUUUAAAGGGUCCGUAGGCGGAUCUGUAAGUCAGUGGUGAAAUCUCACAGCUUAACUGUGAAACUGCCAUUGAUACUGCAGGUCUUGAGUAAAUUUGAAGUGGCUGGAAUAAGUAGUGUAGCGGUGAAAUGCAUAGAUAUUACUUAGAACACCAAUUGCGAAGGCAGGUCACUAAGAUUUAACUGACGCUGAUGGACGAAAGCGUGGGGAGCGAACAGGAUUAGAUACCCCGGUAGUCCCUGUCUCUUAUAC
rnacentral:rRNA from 1 species